rnacentral:rRNA from 1 species
CCCUUAGAUGUUCUGGGCCGCACGCGCGCUACACUGAUGCAUUCAACGAGUCUAAAACCUGCUCUGAUAGGGGUGGGUAAUCUUUUGAAUGUGCAUCGUGAUUGGGAUAGAUGAUUGCAAUUUUUCAUCUUCAACGAGGAAUGCCUAGUAAACGCAAGUCAUCAGCUUGCAUUGAUUACGUCCCUGCCCUUUGUACACACCGCCCGUCGCUCCUACCGAUUGAAUGCUCCGAUGAAUAUCAUGGAUUGAGGAUUAUAGCAGGUUCGCCUGUCUUGAUCUUCGAGAAGUGAAGUAAAUCUUAUCAUUUAGAGGAAGGAGAAGUCGUAACA